rnacentral:lncRNA from 1 species
GGGUGUUGUGAGGUUUCGCAGAGAGAAAAUUAGAAGGUUUCCACCUGUACUUUGUGUCUAUAGUCUGGCUUCUGUGAGAACAAUCUGAUAUGAGUGGUUAUUUUCCUAGAUUGUUGGGUUUAGCCUUACCAGUUUUGGGAAAGAACUGCAAUUUUCAAAUGAAUUUUAACACAAGUUGAGGUAGGUUUUACUGUUUUGUUGCAGAGGGGUUUUGUAUUGUGAUAUCGCCACCUUGUGUUACUAGUUGGAAAUACCUUUUUUGUGCUUUAAACAGCUACUGGCCAAAUAUGAGCAUGAAAUGCAAAUUUUUGAAGAAGAGUGUCUGAAAUUAGAGGAAAAGAAAAAAGUUCUAGAAGAUGAAAUAGCUGUGUUUCGUGAGAAGCAAGCUAAUGCUGAGUUACUCCAGUCACAAGCAUCUACCUCUACCCUUGCUGUUAGUUUGAAGAAAGGCGAGGGCCACAAAAAAAGGAACGAAGGUUUUCGACUUGAAUUGCUGUGCUUUGAUAUCAGAGAUGAAGAAAUUGAGACUGUUCAUGAGCAGAAGCAAGAGGGAGAAGUUAUAGAGGGAGAAAAAUUCACCUGGGGGAUUCCAGAAGUGACAAAUUUGAUUGCAGCACUGAGGUCUUGAAUUUCCAGCUUUACAUAAUACUGACAACAGAAGAAGCAAUAUUGAUAAUUUUUCUUGAGAAGCAAUGAUUCACAGUGUGCUUUUGAUGGUGUAGAAGUUGCAGUUUCUUACUAAAGGAUUUGGAAAGUAUCUUUUGUUGCUGUAUGCUGCAAAAGAAGAAUUUUGAAGUAUGAUCUGUACACAUACAAUGCAGUGAUUACUGCAGUUGCCAUCAGGGACUUUCUGUUACAAAUCUACCUUGAUAUGGACUUACCUUACAUACAUGUGGCCAACUUACUGUCAUUUUAAGUGCAUGGUACCAGAGAAAAUGUCCCUCUAUAAACAGUUCCCAUUCAUACUACAAAUGUUGUAGUAGAAAAUUAUUCAGUGAAUGCAUCCUCUAUAACCUUUCUAAAGAGUUAUUUUCAUAUGGUAUGGUAUAUUAGUCAACUAAACAUUACUUAGUGCAAAUGUUGAUAUAAUUCAACCAUUUACUGAUUUUGCUGAUAUGCUUUGCUUGUAGGCUUCUAUGUACAAGCACUGUCCUAAAUUUCAGGUAUAAUCUUUCUAAUCAAAAUUUAUUCAGGUAUUUUCAGUGCUGUACUACUGCAUGAUAUUUUAUCUGACAUUACUAACUUAAUAUGGAAAGUACCUAUAACUUUUUGAUGCUUGUGACUGUGGUGUUCAGUUACAGCAGAGGCUAAUUUUGCAAAAACUAUACUACAAGAGCUUCAGGUUAAAACAAGCUUAAAAUGUUUUUAUUUUCUCAGUAGCCAUGAUAACUAAUGGGAAAUUGUAAAGGUGC